rnacentral:rRNA from 1 species
UACGAAGGGGGCUAGCGUUGCUCGGAAUCACUGGGCGUAAAGGGUGCGUAGGCGGGUUUUUAAGUCAGGGGUGAAAUCCUGGAGCUCAACUCCAGAACUGCCUUUGAUACUGGCGAUCUUGAGUCCGGGAGAGGUGAGUGGAACUGCGAGUGUAGAGGUGAAAUUCGUAGAUAUUCGCAAGAACACCAGUGGCGAAGGCGGCAUCCUGGACCGACACUGACGCUGAGGAGCGAAAGCCAGGGGAGCAAACGGG